UUCAGUCGACUGAAAACAACUGUCACUGUUCCAGUUCCAUGCCACAUCCUCUUCAAACUUCACAUCUCUACUUAUGUAUAAUCUCUCAGUUGUAGGAUCAACCAUUCUGUAACCCUUUGUGCCUGAUUCAUAUCCUAGCAGAACUAUUUUAGUAGACCUGUCUGACAGCUUGUCGACUCCAGGACCUACCUUCUUGACAUGACCUAUGCAUCCAAAAGUUCUGAGAUGACCCACUUGUGGUUUACUGCCAUGCCAUGCCUCAUAUGGAGUUUUCCCUUGCACACUUCUUGGCAAUAUUAUAUAUGAGGAGGUGAAGCAAGCUAGAAGCUCAUCUUGUACCCGCAACAAGUUGGUACCUGCAGCACGUGGACAAAGCUAGAUGGCAUGGACAAAGCUAGAUGGGAAGCCUAGUAUAAUUGCAAAGUGAAUCAGUUAGAUUCUAGUAGUUACUAAAAUUUUUAAGUGAUAUUUGUAUGAUAUUGCCACUUUGGCUUUGCUUCUUUGUGAACACAAUUGGCAGUUACUGAACAUGUUUGCUAUCGAGUUAGUUAGCUUCUUGAUAUUUUGCCAAGGCCAAAAGCAAUAUUAUUGAGGGUUUAUAA